UCCGAACCGAACCGAUCCGUACCUUUUGAAUUUUGUUCGUGGAUUAAUGGUCCGGACACGGAUUGAACAAUUAAAAAACCGUGACUCGCGGUUCGGUCCACGGAUUUUCAUUACGAAACCGUGGAUUAACCGAACCGAACCGUGAGAUAUUUAUUUUAUAUAAAUAAUAUAUAUGUGUGUAUUUAUAUAAUAAAUUGUUAGUAAUGUUAACACUUUUUUCCACCAAUUUUAGUAUUUUAUCUUAAUAAUGGGAUAUAGUGUAAAUGUACAAAAAAUAUAGGGAGUAAAUCGUAGUUUUUUCGUAAAAUUACGGGUAACCUUAGUUGAGUUUUAGUAGUUCGUUUCUUUUCCGAUUCUUUUAUGUUAUGUAAUGGAGUAUAAUGAUACAAUCCUACUUGUGUUUUAGAUUCUUUUGAAUUUGAUUUUUGAAGUAAGCCUUUGGUAGUUUAUGUAACAAGUACUUUCUGGUGGUGUUAAACUUAAUUCUGAAUGUAACAUUCUUCCCUUUUAUUGUGAGAUAUAUGUUUGAGCUUUAUUUUUGCUAAAAUCUGUGGACAAAAUCGUAACCGAUUCGUGAGUCAUGGAUCGGAUUGGAACCGGACCGUAGAACUUUUGGUCCGGACACGAAUUUCAUUUUGUAAAAACCGUGACUAGCAGUUCGGUCCUCGGAUUCCUAGAAAUCCGAACCGAACCGGACUGCGAGCAGCCCUAA